ACAUGUCAUAUUUGUGAAUGUGAACGGCAGGAUAUCGAGUUUAAGGAUGCUUUAGGGUCAAUGAGAAUGAAAUCAAGAGAGAUAAAGGCUAAAAUGUGAGACUGUCAAUCUGACAAACCUUGCAGUGAAUAAAUGGAAACAGUGGCGUUUGUAUGAUAGAACAGUAAUAGCAGGAGUGAUAAGGACAGAUGCAUGUAGAUGUGUCUUCAUGUCGGAAACACUACUAGAGAAAUUGAAAUAUUUGGGUUUUUCAAAACUUAAAAGAAAUUGGAAUACCAGGAGACUGCUUGCCCUUUGCAAUGUUGGAUGAUGUGAUGUCGAAAGCCUCAUGAAUAUAGUAACUUGACUUAAUCUAAUUAGAAAAAGAAAUGACAUUGAGGAGAAAACUAGUCGCCAGUCUUUCACCAAGAACAUGAGAUAACUUUCCAAUAUUUGAAAUAUCAUAAUAUGUAUAGAACUUUAAUGAGCGAACAGUUUUUCACCAGGAAAAUAAGAUCACUUAUCUAUUUUUGAAAUAUGUAUGAACAGAACUCUAUCAACUUCAAGGUGAGAGUUUAUCACAAAGAACAUGAGAUAGCCUAUGUAGGAACAGAACCACAUUUGUAUAUAGAGGCGCCAGUUCAUCACCAAGAAGAUGAGCUAACUUAUCAAUGUUUGAAAUCUGUUAUACCCCUGCACAACAAAGUUGUAAGGGGGGUAUACUGGAAUCAGCUUGUCCGACCGUCGGGAGUUUGUCAUUUUUUUCUUGUCCGUCCAAUAACUUAAGAUUCCUUUGACCCACAGUCUUCAUAUUUGGCAUGGAGGUAAGUCAUGAUUAGUAGAUGACCUCUUUUAAUUUUGAGAACACCAAGUCAAAGGUCAAGGUCACAGGGUCUUGACUGAAGAAAGCUUUUCUGCCCAAUAACUUAAGAAUCCUUCGACCCACAGUCUUCAUUUUUGGCAUGGAGGUUAGUCAUGAUUAGUAGAUGACCGCUAUUUAUUUUCAGGUCACCAGGUCUAAGGUCAUGGUCACAGGGGCCUUGGCUAAUUAAAGCUUGUCCUCCCAAUUACCUAAGAAUCCUUUGACCCGUAGUCUUCAUAUUUGGCAUGGAGGUUAGUCAAGAUUAGUGAAAUACCCCUAUUGAUUUUGAGGUCACUUGGGCAAAGGUCAAGGUCACAGGGGCUUUUAUUACAAUUAGCUUGUCUGCUCAAAUGGUCUUAUAUAUUCAUCAUAAAACACCUCCAGGCAAGGCUGCAUGAAAUGGGGGGGGGGGGUGUUAUUGAAGUCAUUCAAUGGCAGUUUCAGUUUUGAGGUCAGUAGGUCAAAGGUAAAGUUCACUUUGAUCUUUUCCACUAAAACAUGUAGAAUACAUAACUUAGCAAUGCACUGGCUUACUUCCCUCAGAUUUGGCUGGGAGGUUGUCUGAGCUGUAAAUGACUACUGGUGUGAUUCUGACAAAUUGGUAUGUGGGGGUAUUCACGCCAAGACAAUGGCAGUUCUAGUUUGUACAGAAAAUAUCAAGGUGCAAGUUUCUUUUAUUAAGAAUAGACUUAUUGAUUAGAUAACUUACAAUAUUUACAAACAUUUAUAAUACCAUACCCAUUUAAAGUAUUUCAGCUGAGAGUGUAUUAUCCAAAAUACAUGUAUUGUUAUAAUGUACUUUAUAGUAUAUUUAUUGUAAAGUUUUGAUUCUACUAGAUUUUAAAAACAUUUAGAUUUUACUAGAUCUUGAAAAUAUUUUGUUCCAUGCUCUUUCAUUUAAUUUUGAAUAAUGAAUCCAAUAAAUACCUAUAAUAAGUAUAGGAUUAAAAUUGAUAAUGUUUUCUAUCUUUAACUUAUAUAAAAGUACAAAAGUAAUGUUCAAACUGCUGGUUAGAUUUCAAACAGGACUAAACAGGAGUGUACAGUGCCAUCCUUAGGUGUGCACAUUGUUGGCAUGUUCUCAUCGUCAGAUACCCACGGCCGAACCAUUAACAUUCAUCAUUGAUUGCAUGUUAUGUGACAUGUUUAUCAAUCGUGGGUAUCCAACAAUGGCAUGUUCUGUUUCUCUGCACAAAAUGGCCCCAGAGUUAAAAAAAGAAAAAUCUAUCACAUGUAAAACUGCCAAAAUUCAAAAGAGUGAUCAGAACCAUACACAGUUUUGGGAGACAUGUUUUUGUGACAAAAGCCCUUCAAGUUCAUAUAUGACCUUGACCUUUAUUAGUCCCCUACCGGUUUAACCGGAGGGGACUUUAGGUUUACCCUCCGUCCGUCUGUCCGUCUGUCUGUUAGUCCGUCCGUCCACAAAACUGGAUCCCGCGAUAAUGCAAAAUGUACUGAAAAUAUUUUAAUGAAACUUGAUAUAUGGAUAGAUGGCAGUAUGGAGAUUAUGCACGUCUUUUUUUUUUCUUCCUUUGUUGAAAAUUCUGGUUGCUAUGGCAACAAAUAGCCUGAAAAUAUGGCACAUUGAACACAUAAACUGGAUCCCGCGAUAAAGCAAAAAGUACUGAAAAUAUUUUUAUGAAACUUGAUAUAUGGAUAGAUGGCAGUAUGGAGAUUAUGCACGUCUUUUUUUUUUCUUCCUAUGUGGAAAAUUCUGGUUGCUAUGGCAACAAAUAGCCUGAAAAUAUGGCAAAUUGAACACAUAAACUGGAUCCCGCAAUAACGCAAAAAGUACUAAAAAUAUUUUUAUGAAACUUGAUAUAUGGAUAGAUGGCAGAAUGAAGAUUAUGCAUGUCUUUUUUUUUCUUCCUAUGUUGAAAAUUCUGGUUGCUAUGGCAACAAAUAGCCUGAAUUUCAAGAUUUCUGAUUUAAAUUUUUCAGCUUUUUCACUAUAAGUUCUUUAUUUCUUAAGGUGAUUACUUCAAACUUUAAAUAUAAGUUUCUGGUCAUCAACCACAUCAUAUGUGACAAGGUUUACAACUCUAGCACAAAAAUUAUCAGUAUUACCUCCCUUGAACUUAGAAUUUUUAUGAAAAAAAUGUUGUCUUUUUUAAAUAACUUCUUUAUUUCCUAAUGUAUCUACUUCAAACUUCAUAUAUAUGUUUCUUAUUCUCACUCAACAUUUUUGAGAAGGUUAAAUACUCUAGCAAGACUAUUUCCAGAAUUAUGUCCCCCUUGAACUUAGAUUUUUUUCGAGAAAUUGGUAUUUUUCACUCCAACUUCUUCAUUCAUUAUAGGAUUUACUUUCAAAUCCCACAUCGUAAUAAUAUGACAAGGUUGUAUAAACAUAAUUUCCUUACUAGGCAGGGAAACUUAACACAUUACUGUGAUAUAGACAAACUUAGAACUCAAAAGAUUUAAGUUCAUUCAUGUCAUUCAUUCACUGGUAAAAUUGACUGGCCAAUGGCCCAUCAGAAAGUUGCUGGGGUUCUAACCGGUAGGGGACUUAUGGAUUGCUUGCAAUACUAUGAUAAUUGCUUGUUUGAUAUAAAAUAUCUGGAGUUAGCUGGAAUUGUCAUUACUUUGUUAUUAUUUACAGAUUUGAUUCAUGCUUGGACAAACAAACACAAAACCAACAUGUUGAAUUUUUCUGAUAUAACUUUGACAUUUAAAUGACCAUUACCUCCAAGGUUAAACAAUUGAAAUUCGAUCACAUUGUCAUAACUUUGUUUUUGUCUAUGAUUUGAUUCAUUCUUGGACAAAAGAACAAUUAUCAUUCAACUAUGACCUUUACUAUUCAAAUUUGAAAUUUACUUUAUACAUUUAUAUUAUGUUUUCUAGGAGUACUCUAAUAGAUAUUACAAUAUUCUCCUACUGAUGUGUUUGACUUCCAAUAUAAGAAAAAGCCGAGCAUGGCCCAGGCUAGAUAGUGGCUCUUGUUUUCAAUGCCAACUUGAUUAUAUGUAUCCAUUCCAAUUUACAUUCUCACAUGUAUUAUCUAUUGUGCUUGAAAGGUUUCUACAAAAAACAAGUUUGUUCUUACAGUCCUGGUUUUAUUUUAGAAAUAUUUUAAAGACAGUUAAAUUUUCUGUUUAUUUUCUAUCUGCAUAAUCAUUUCUUGGAAUAAAUAUAGUAAGUA